rnacentral:rRNA from 1 species
UACGUAGGGGGCAAGCGUUGUCCGGAUUUAUUGGGCGUAAAGCGCUCGCAGGUGGUUCGUCGCGUCGUGCGUGAAAGACCCCGGCUCAACUGGGGAGUGUCGUGCGAUACGGGCGGACUGGAGGCCAGUAGGGGGGAUGCGGAAUUCCGGGUGUAGUGGUGAAAUGCGUAGAGAUCCGGAGGAACACCAGCGGCGAAGGCGGCAUCCUGGACUGGUCCUGACACUCAUGAGCGAAAGCGUGGGUAGCAAACAGG